GCUCUCAUAGUUUAAUGGAUAGAAUAGCUCCCUCCUAAGGAGUAGAUGCAGGUUCGAUUCCUGCUGAGAGUGCCA
rnacentral:tRNA from 1 species